GGGUUGUGAGGUUAAGCGACUAAGCGUACACGGUGGAUGCCCUGGCAGUCAGAGGCGAUGAAGGGCGUGCUAAUCUGCGAUAAGCGCCGGUAAGGUGAUAUGAACCGUUAUAACCGGCGAUACCCGAAUGGGGAAACCCAGUGUGAUUCGUCACACUAUCAUUAACUGAAUCCAUAGGUUAAUGAGGCGAACCGGGGGAACUGAAACAUCUAAGUACCCCGAGGAAAAGAAAUCAACCGAGAUUCCCCCAGUAGCGGCGAGCGAACGGGGAGGAGCCCAGAGCCUGAAUCAGCAUGUGUGUUAGUGGAAGCGUCUGGAAAGGCGCGCGAUACAGGGUGACAGCCCCGUACACAAAAGCGCAUGUGCUGUGAGCUCGAUGAGUAGGGCGGGACACGUGGUAUCCUGUCUGAAUAUGGGGGGACCAUCCUCCAAGGCUAAAUACUCCUGACUGACCGAUAGUGAACCAGUACCGUGAGGGAAAGGCGAAAAGAACCCCGGCGAGGGGAGUGAAAAAGAACCUGAAACCGUGUACGUACAAGCAGUGGGAGCACAGGUUUACCUGUGUGACUGCGUACCUUUUGUAUAAUGGGUCAGCGACUUAUAUUCUGUAGCAAGGUUAACCGAAUAGGGGAGCCGCAGGGAAACCGAGUCUUAAUUGGGCGUUAAGUUGCAGGGUAUAGACCCGAAACC
rnacentral:rRNA from 3 species